rnacentral:rRNA from 1 species
UACGUAGGGGGCAAGCGUUGUCCGGAAUCAUUGGGCGUAAAGAGCGUGUAGGCGGCUCGAUAAGUCUGCUGUGAAAGUCCAGGGCUCAACCCUGGAAGGCCGGUGGAAACUGUCGGGCUAGAGUCCGGAAGAGGCGAGUGGAAUUCCCGGUGUAGCAGUGAAAUGCGUAGAUAUCGUAAGGAAGACCAGUGGCGAAGGCGAAUCUCUGGACAGUUACUGACACUGAGGCACGAAGGCCAGGGGAGCAAACGGG